GUACUGCUGAAGAGUCUCGAACAAGGACGAAACAGCUGUCCAGUAC
rfam:Trichobilharzia regenti genome assembly, scaffold: TRE_scaffold0026032